GACGGUAACUUAGACAACAAAUAAUGGAUAGACAAUCUUCACUCUUUAGGACUUGUACUGCACAAGGUCAUGUUAAAUAAAAAUUUCAUUUUAUUUGAUACACCUUCAGCAACAGAAAUUUCAAUCUCAAGAGUUCAACCAUUGAAUUUUCCAUCAAAUAAUCCAUAACCGAUAACAUUGUGGAUGGUGGUAAGCAGUGACGAACACAGAAAUUUUGAGUUAGUGGGGCACGAUUUUCCUUUCAAAUUUCAAUUGUUGGCAACCAGUGGUACAAGGCAGAAUGGUAGUCAGCAAAUGAACGGUUUUCUUUUCAAACUUUGGUGUUUGCACGUUGCUGUUUGGUUUGUAAUGAGUUAAUGGGUUUACACCUUUUUUCUUUCUGUUUUCAAUUUUCAAUGUUUGUCAAUUAAUGGAAUUGGGAGUUGGGUGGGAAUUGGGUGGGUCACGUGAGAACUGGGAGUUGC
rnacentral:lncRNA from 1 species